rnacentral:rRNA from 1 species
UAAGGAAUAUUGGUCAAUGGUGGCAACACUGAACCAGCCAUGCCGCGUGCAGGAUGAAGGUUCUAUGAAUUGUAAACUGCUUUUAUACGGGAAAAAACUUUCGAACGUGUUCGGAACUGAUGGUACCGUAAGAAUAAGGAUCGGCUAACUUCGUGCCAGCAGCCGCGGUAAGACGAAGGAUCCAAGCGUUAUCCGGAUUUAUUGGGUUUAAAGGGUGCGUAGGUGGACUUGUAAGUCAGCGGUGAAAGCCCGAUGCUUAACAUCGGAACUGCCAUUGAUACUGCAAGUCUUGAAUAUGUUUGAAGUGGGCGGAAUGUGUCGUGUAGCGGUGAAAUGCUUAGAUAUGACACAGAACACCGAUUGCGAAGGCAGCUCACUAAACCAUUAUUGACACUGAGGCACGAAAGCGUGGGGAGCAAACAG